AAUGCGCGAAAGCGUGACGCAGCAACGCCGCGUGAGGGAAGACGGCCUUCGGGUUGUAAACCUCUUUCAGUUGGGACGAAGCUUCUACGGUGAAUAGCCGAUAGGAGUGACGGUACUUUCAGAAGAAGCCCCGGCUAACUACGUGCCAGCAGCCGCGGUAAUACGUAGGGGGCAAGCGUUGUCCGGAAUCAUUGGGCGUAAAGAGCGUGUAGGCGGUUUCGUCAGUCUGCUGUGAAAGUCCAGGGCUCAACCCUGGAAUGCCGGUAGAUACUGCGAGACUUGAGUCCGGAAGAGGUGAGUGGAAUUCCUGGUGUAGCGGUGAAAUGCACAGAUAUCAGGAGGAACACCAAUUGCGAAGGCAGCUCACUGGGACGGUACUGACGCUGAGACGCGAAAGCGUGGGGAGCAAA
rnacentral:rRNA from 1 species